AUUGAACGCUGGCGGCAUGUCUUACACAUGCAAGUCGAACGGUAACGCGGGGCAACCUGGCGACGAGUGGCGAACGGGUGAGUAAAGUAUCGGAACGUGCCCAAUAGUGGGGGAGUAGCCCGGCGAAAGCCGGAUUAAUACCGCAUGAGACCUGAGGGUGAAAGCGGGGGACCGCAAGGCCUCGCGCGAUAGGAGCGGCCGAUAUCGGAUUAGCUAGUUGGUGAGGUAAAGGCUCACCAAGGCGACGAUCCGUAGCGGGUCUGAGAGGACGACCCGCCACACUGGAACUGAGACACGGUCCAGACUCCUACGGGAGGCAGCAGUGGGGAAUUUUGGACAAUGGGGGCAACCCUGAUCCAGCCAUUCCGCGUGAGUGAAGAAGGCCUUCGGGUUGUAAAGCUCUUUCAGCAGGAACGAAACGGUGAGGGUUAAUACCCUUUACUAAUGACGGUACCUGAAGAAGAAGCACCGGCUAACUACGUG
rnacentral:rRNA from 1 species